CUUAUCUUCACAGACUAGAAGCAAACCAAAUCAAACCGUCUUAUUCAUAGAUCUUCCUUCACAUUUAUCAAGUAUUCAGAUCUAAGGUUCACUUCUUUUUGCCACAGAUAUGGAGACCUUCCUAUUCACUUCCGAAUCGGUGAACGAGGGACAUCCAGACAAGCUCUGCGACCAGAUCUCUGAUGCAGUGCUCGAUGCUUGUUUAGCCCAGGACCCCGAUAGUAAGGUCGCUUGCGAAACUUGCACCAAGACCAACAUGGUCAUGGUUUUUGGAGAGAUCACCACCAAGGCUAAUGUAGACUAUGAGAAGGUAGUGCGCGAUACUUGCCGUUCUAUUGGAUUCACCUCCGAUGACGUGGGUCUUGAUGCUGACAAUUGUAAAGUGCUCGUCAAUAUUGAGCAGCAGAGUCCUGAUAUUGCCCAGGGAGUCCACGGCCAUCUCACUAAGCGCCCUGAGGAUAUUGGUGCCGGUGAUCAAGGACAUAUGUUUGGUUAUGCCACUGAUGAGACCCCUGAAUAUAUGCCAUUGAGCCAUGUCCUCGCCACCAAGCUUGGGGCUCGGCUUACUGAGGUUAGGAAGAAUGGCACCUGCCCAUGGCUAAGACCUGAUGGUAAGACUCAGGUUACUGUGGAGUACUACAACGACAAUGGUGCCAUGGUCCCAGUGCGUGUCCACACUGUCCUUAUCUCUACCCAGCAUGAUGAGACUGUCACAAAUGAUGAGAUUGCUGCUGACCUGAAGGAGCAUGUCAUUAAGCCUGUCAUCCCUGAGAAGUACCUUGAUGAGAAGACCAUCUUCCACCUUAACCCAUCAGGCAGGUUUGUCAUUGGUGGUCCACAUGGUGAUGCAGGACUCACUGGUCGUAAAAUUAUCAUUGAUACCUAUGGUGGUUGGGGAGCCCAUGGUGGUGGUGCCUUCUCUGGAAAGGAUCCCACCAAGGUAGACAGAAGUGGCGCCUACAUUGUUAGGCAGGCUGCCAAGAGCAUUGUUGCCAGUGGGCUUGCUCGCCGGUGCAUUGUUCAGGUCUCUUAUGCUAUUGGUGUGCCAGAACCAUUGUCGGUGUUUGUUGAUACCUAUGGCACUGGAAAGAUCCCAGACAAAGAGAUUCUCAAGAUUGUGAAAGAGAACUUCGACUUCAGACCUGGAAUGAUGACCAUCAACCUAGAUCUCAAGAGGGGAGGUAACAGGUUCUUGAAGACAGCUGCAUACGGACACUUUGGAAGGGAUGACCCAGACUUCACCUGGGAGGUUGUCAAGCCCCUCAAGUGGGAUAAGCCUCAAGCUUAAGAGUGAUUAUCCUAUCCCUGCUGUCAAUGCUUUCUUGGCUGGUAGUUGAUGAAUAAUUGGCUUGUUUCCUUACUGCUGCGCAACAAAUCUAGAACAAUCUACAAUGGUCUAAUCUCAUACAUAAUAUGCCCUAUCCAAUUUUCUUUCUUCUUUUCCCCACCUUUGUUUUUUAAUUACCAGUGUCGGGGCUAUAAAAAUGUGAGAAUUUUUUUUAAUUUGAUGGCACCGGAUGUAAUGAGCUGCCUUACAGCAGGGCAGCAGCGAAAUGUAUUAACGUGUUCUUUUUGCAGAACAAAUUAUUAUUUUACUUCUGUGUGACUACUGUUGGCCACGUUCAUUGCAAUUUGAUGUCAGAGAUGAUUAUCUUUGGCGUCCUAAUUUUUGGUUUCAUAGUUUGGCACGUUGAAAUGAAGCUGCUCUUUUUCUCUAUGAUAUCAUCGUCAGGCACAAACAAGUUGAGCUCCAAAGUUACGUCUGUCCGUUGUUCUGUUUUCACAGUAAAACCAGCCACUUGCAUUUGAUGCGUACAGUGAACUGACUUCAACGUACAGGGAAGAAUCGGCUCCAGCUGCCGUAACUUUUUUACCAGAGUCGAGACAUUGCAUGUUCUGUUGUUCUACUUACGGAAAAGAAAAGGCAAAAAGCUCAAUUGAUUGCAACAGGAGACUCGUUGCUGUAUAUCAAUAAAAAGCAUUGGUAAUUAAUUAGCACCAGGCACACCCCUUUUCACAAAAUGAGUCUCUUUCUCAUCCAUUCGUAAUACUAACAGGACAUCAUAAUUUGGAAGUUAGAACUCCCUCAAUCAAAAUAAAAAUAAAGGCAACUACAAAUAGAAGCCUUCGUCCAUGUUAAAACUGCUCUCUCUACUCGUCGAAUCGAGCGCUCUCGUCAGAGCGGAUAGACACAGGUACCAAAAGAAGGGUUCUGAGUUACAGCGACACCAGUGCCAUUGAAAUUGCAAUCCCAAGGGUGCUUGCCUGCAGACUUGUAGAAGAGAUUCAUGGCAUAAGAGGCAUGUGAAACAGGUGUAUCUGGAUUGAAACAGCUACCACCUGGUUGAAUCGGACUACAGUCCACUCCACUUUGUCCACAGCUAAAAUCGAUGUUGCGGAAAAGCGUACUUGCCUCUGUGGAUGGCUUUGCAAUGCACCACAUCCCCGUCCGGUAUCUUCCAUGGUAUCUCGACUCUAUGCAAACAGCCGAAGAAAGAAGCAAAGCAAAGGCAAGAGAAAGAAAUGACGAAGGAUGCCUUGCACUUUCCAUCUUGGUUUGUCUCAGCAACACCCAACAACUAAUAUGAUUGAAAGAGAGAGAUCUUGGUAAAAAUGUGAACACUCUGUGGAGGCAUAUAUAGAGUAAAAUGAAAA
rnacentral:misc_RNA from 1 species